rnacentral:rRNA from 1 species
UUCCGGUUGAUCCUGCCGGACCUUACUGCUAUCGGGGGAGGACUAAAACAUGCAAGUCGUGCGCCUCCAAGCUAUGAUGGAGACGCGGCGUACAGCUCAGUAACGCGUGGCUAACCCACCCUUGAGACAGAGACAACCUCGGGAAACUGGGGCUAAUCCCUGAUAGGAGAAGAUACCUGGAAGGGGUCUUCUCCCAAAAGGCGCUUAGAUCAUGCUGCUAGACGUCGCUCAAGGACGGGGCCGCGGCCGAUCAGGUUGUUGGUGAGGCAAUGGCUCACCAAGCCUAUAACCGGUACGGGCCGUGAGAGCGGGAGCCCGGAGAUGGGCGCUGAGACAAGGGCCCAGGCCCUACGGGGCGCAGCAGUUGCGAAAACUCCGCAAUGCGCGAAAGCGUGACGGGGCUACCCCGAGUGCCGCCCGUUGAGGGCGGCUUUUCCGCGGUGUAAGGAGCCGUGGGAAUAAGGAGAGGGCAAGACUGGUGUCAGCCGCCGCGGUAAUACCAGCUCUCCGAGUGGUGGGGACGAUUAUUGGGCUUAAAGCGUUCGUAGCCGGCUUAACAAGUCUUCCGUUAAAUCCAACGAUCUAAUCGUUGGGCUGCGGGAGAUACUGUUGGGCUAGGAGGCGGGAGAAGCCGACGGUAUUCUCGGGGUAGGGGUGAAAUCCUGUAAUCCCGGGAGGACCACCAGUGGCGAAGGCGGUCGGCUAGAACGCGCUCGACGGUGAGGGACGAAAGCUGGGGGAGCGAACCGGAUUAGAAACCCGGGUAGUCCCAGCUGUAAACGAUGCGGGCUAGGUGUUGGGGUGGCCACGAGCCACUUCAGUGCCGCAUGGAAGCAAUUAAGCCCGCCGCCUGGGGAGUACGGCCGCAAGGCUGAACUUAAAGGAAUGGCGGGGAGCACACAAGGCGUGAGCUGCGUUUAAUGACUCAACGC